UCUCAUCGACCCAAUGACUAAUUUCGCCUCGCGCGGAAUGAGUUCACUAUGCGACCCCAGGUCAGGCGGGGCUACCCGCUGAGUUUAAGCAUAUC
rnacentral:rRNA from 1 species